rnacentral:tRNA from 1 species
GCCUGGGUGGCUCAGUCGGUUAAGCAUCUGACUUUGGCUCAGGUCAUGAUCUCAAGGUUCGUGGGUUUGAGCCCCGCAUUGGGCU